rnacentral:rRNA from 1 species
CCUACGGGGGGCUGCAGUGGGGAAUAUUGCACAAUGGGCGCAAGCCUGAUGCAGCCAUGCCGCGUGUGUGAAGAAGGCCUUCGGGUUGUAAAGCACUUUCAGCGGGGAGGAAGGCGUUAAGGUUAAUAACCUUGGCGAUUGACGUUACCCGCAGAAGAAGCACCGGCUAACUCCGUGCCAGCAGCCGCGGUAAUACGGAGGGUGCAAGCGUUAAUCGGAAUUACUGGGCGUAAAGCGCACGCAGGCGGUCUGUCAAGUCGGAUGUGAAAUCCCCGGGCUCAACCUGGGAACUGCAUUCGAAACUGGCAGGCUAGAGUCUUGUAGAGGGGGGUAGAAUUCCAGGUGUAGCGGUGAAAUGCGUAGAGAUCUGGAGGAACACCGGUGGCGAAGGCGGCUCUCUGGCCUGUAACUGACGCUGAGGCGCGAAAGCGUGGGGAGCGAACAGGAUUAGAUACCCUGGUAGUC